AUGGCAUCAUUUGGUAGCUUUACUGCUAACACUUUGAUGGCAGUAAUGAUUAUUGGCAUGUUUUGGGUGACGAACAUUGUAGCGCAAGAUUCAGCUAUUGCACCAACAGGUCAAUUGGAGGCUGGAAAUGGGUUUGCUUUACCUGUUUCUAAGAUGGUCUUAUGUUCUUCUGUUUUGGUUUCUCUUGUUGCAUUCAUGUUCAAGUGA